CAUGCAUGCCUCAUGCAAACCGGUCUAGGGUGAAACCGCGAAUGGCUCAUUAACAGUUAUGGUUCCUUGGACCUGACCUAGUACUCGGAUAACUGUGGCAAUUCUAGAGCUAAUACGUGCAACUCAGUCCCGACCCGAGAGGGGAGGGAUGCUUUUAUUAGAUCAAGACCAAUCGGCCGGCUCGUCCGGCCGUCAAGUUUUGGUGACUCUAAAUAACUUUGGGCUGAUCGCACGGUCUUCGCACCGGCGACGCACCCUUCAAAUGUCUGACUUAUCAACUUACGAUGGUAGGCUCUGCGCCUACCAUGGUUAUAACGGGUAACGGGGAAUCAGGGUUCGAUUCCGGAGAGGGAGCCUGAGAAACGGCUACCACAUCUAAGGAAGGCAGCAGGCGCGCAAAUUACCCACUCCCGGCACGGGGAGGUAGUGACGAAAAAUAACGAUACGGGACUCAUCCGAGGCCCCGUAAUCGGAAUGACAUGUCUCUAAACUCUAUUCGAAGUAACCAUUGAAGGGCAAGUCUGGUGCCAGCUGCCGCGGUAAUUCCAGCUUCAAUAGCGUAUAUUAAAGUUGUUGCGGUUAAAAAGCUCGUAGUUUGACGUGUGUCCCGCGCUGCCGGUUCACCGCUCGUCGGUGUCUAACUGGCACGCAUGCGGGACGUCCUGAUGGUGGCGGCGAGCCGAGGGCGCGGGCGCGCGCGCCCGCCCCGACUCCGGCGGCGAGCAAUCGACGCCGGCUAGGUCGGAUCGCGGGCGCGGUCCGCGCAACGUCCGAGGCGAACCCCGAUGUCACCCGCCGCGGUGCUCUUUGCUGAGUGUCGCGCGGGCCAUCACGUUUACUUUGAACAAAUUAGAGUGCUCAAAGCAGGCCAUCAAACGCCUGAAUACUGUGUGCAUGGAAUAAUGGAAUAGGACCUCGGUUCUAUUGCGUUGGUUUUCGGAGCCAGAGGUAAUGAUUAAUGGGGAUUGCCGGGGGCAUCCGUAUUGCGACGUUAGAGGUGAAAUUCUUGGAUCGUCGCAAGACGAACUGGAGCGAAAGCGUUUGCCAAGUAUGUUUUCUUUAAUCAAGAACGAAAGUUAGAGGCUCGAAGGCGAUCAGAUACCGCCCUAGUUCUAACCAUAAACUAUGCCACCUUGCGAUCCGCUGUGUGUCUUAGAUGUCACGGCGGGCAGCCCCCGGGAAACCAAAGGUUUUGGGUUCCGGGGGAAGUAUGGUUGCAAAGCUGAAACUUAAAGGAAUUGACGGAAGGGCACUACAAGGAGUGGGGCCUGCGGCUUAAUUUGACUCAACACGGGAAACCUUUCCAGGCCAGGACACUGGAAGGAUUGACAGAUUGAGAGCUCUUUCUUGAUUCGGUGGGCGGUGGUGCAUGGCCGUUUUUAGUUCGUGGGGCGACUUGUCUGGUUAAUUCCGAUAACGGACGAGACCCCGGCCUGCUAACUAGUCGAUUCCGGCAUCCUUGGCGCAGCCGGCGACCAACAAUCUUCUUAGAGGGACAGGCGGCAUUUAGCCGCACGAGAUGGGGCAAAAACAGGUCUGUUAUGCCCUUAGAUGUCCUGGGCAGCACGCGCGCCACACUGAAGAGCGCAACGUGUGUUUUCCUUGCCCGAGAGGGCCGGGUAACCCGUUCAACUCUCUUCGUGCUAGGGAUUGGGGCUUGCAAUUUUUCCCCACGAACGAGGAAUUCCUAGUAAGCGGGAGUCAUUAGCUCCCGUUGAUUAAGUCCCUGCCCUUUGUCCACACCGCCCGUCGCUACUACCGAUUGAAUGUUUUAGUGAGGUCUUCGGACCAGUGCGGGGCUCUUAAAAAAGGUCCUGUCACCGGAAAGAUGACCGAACUUG
rnacentral:rRNA from 1 species